CGCUGGCUGAGACAUCACAGACUCAUCGACUUGGGGGAUUUUUGUGAGUCUGAGAGGUAAGCGCCGCGGCCUGUCCUUCCGGACCUGCCCUUCGCCUUGUCUGCUGCUCCUGCUGACCCCGGGCCUUGUACCCUCAGAUCAGUCUCCUCGGUGCGCUCCGGUGCUGCGGCCUGUGGUUGGAUUGUCCGUGACGUCCCGACUCACUGCUGACCCACUGGCCUACGGCGCCGGCAGGAUGAAGCUGUCCCUGGUGGCUGCGGUGCUGCUG
rnacentral:other from 1 species